ensembl:snoRNA
AGCCUCUUGGUGCUUAUCACAAGCUGUGUUCUUACACUGACUGUAUAGGAGGAGGAGGCAAAGUAAACCUACCCCAUGUACACCUCAGCCCAAGUCCUGUGCCUAGUCUGUACUGUGAAUGCAGAGACAUGG